AAAUUGAAGAGUUUGAUCAUGGCUCAGAUUGAACGCUGGCGGCAGGCCUAACACAUGCAAGUCGAACGGUAACAGGAAGCAGCUUGCUGCUUUGCUGACGAGUGGCGGACGGGUGAGUAAUGUCUGGGAAACUGCCUGAUGGAGGGGGAUAACUACUGGAAACGGUAGCUAAUACCGCAUAACGUCGCAAGACCAAAGAGGGGGACCUUC
rnacentral:rRNA from 1 species